UCUGGCGGGUCGCGGCCAGGGCCACACCCGGGCUGCCCGUCGCUUGGGAGCGGCGCCCACUGGAAAGGUGGGGAAGAUGCGGCGAGGCGGCCGCGGGUGACCGCUGGCAGCCAUUGUGGCGUGCUCCCGUGCUGUCUUCCAAGAGCCCCGAAAAUUGGGCUGCCAUAUAUUGGAAUCUACUACAUUGUAAUUUUAUUCAUGUAUGGAACACCUGUAUAUACUUUUGAUUCUUGCUACAGAAACACAGUUCUGUAAAUGAAGAUUUCAUGACAAAGAAGAGUGUGAACUAUUUAAAAGUAACUACUUCUUUUGACAAAACUAAAGGGAACACAACUUUGUAGUUGCAGUGAAGAGCCCAUUACUGCUAUCUAGAAUGCAUCAGAGAUGCUCACUUUCAUAGCAUAGACUGAGCACAGCAUAGAAAGAGUUUCAGGCAGCUUUUCUCAAGAGAGCCAAAUUUCUAGCCCAGCCAAAAAACCUUAAGAAGAUAGAGGUAAAAUUUUGCCUCCCCUACAGUUUCUGGUUAUGAGGUUGGGAUUUCAAUGGUUGGGACACUGAGAGAUCCUGGGACAGCUGACAAAAAGCCAGCAGAAGCAUUGGUCAAGACAGCAGAAAAGAUGAACCAACAGAAUGUAAGUCCAAUGAGAAGAGUCACUAGAACAUCUGUGGGAGCACAGAGGAGAAACUGCCCAGGAGUCAAAAAGUUUUCAUAGAGGAGGUAGAAAGGAGAAGUUCGGAGAGCCCUUCCUGCAUGUGCUGUUUCUCAAAUGCCUUCCACUCAGAAUAAUCAAUGUGUCAAAGCUGUGUAUUUCGAUUCGCAUUUGGCAUGUUCUGCUCCCCUCAGGCUUCUGAGCCCCUGCUUUCAUCCUUAAUUUACUGAAACUUUCAGGAUUCAGCAAUUAAACUUCUGUGAGUGAGACUCUGCCACAGCUCAUUCCCCAAUAAUCAGAGUGCCACACAGGGCCAGGACUAGGGUGAAGCAAGCAAGGCCCCCAGAGAACAGAAUUUCAGAAGGCAUGCACUCUGUGAUGCCAGCCACGCCACUUGUACAACCCUAGGAGGGAAUGCCUCCUGACAUGCUGCCCCCUGGCGGUCUUGCUGGCCUCACCCUAGUGCUGGCCCUGGACUGCCUCAGCACAGUGUUUGGAGGGCCAGCCUAAAUGCUUGCUAGAGUGCCCUUGAGUCAAUUUUCCCUCCCUAAAGUACAUUCCUCAAAUCCCCAAGGUUCUGGGAGGGGGCCAUUGCUUUUAUCUUCCCCACAGAGUCCUCAUAUUAUGCUCCAGAAUUCACCUUGUCCCAGGGUGAUUGAAGGUGGAAGCACACAUUCUCUUCACCCCCCCCAUUCUCAGAGCUAUCCUCCCUUACCUUAGGUUCUCAUCAAAAGAUUCCUCUGAAAAUAAUGAGCCGUCCAUUUUCCAAAAUGUGAACAACUCAAUCUUUUAUAAUAGGCUUACAACCAAGCAGUGAAGCUCGUUUUGGAUAUUUGUGGCUUGUCUUCAGCUCUAAUUUCCUACUUCUAGUUACUUGGACAAAAUCACAUCCCUUCCUUCAAAACAGUGAUUUUUAGGUGUAGGCUAUUCUAUUUCCAGAUUAAGAAAAAAUGUUUUUAAUAUCAUUUUCAGGGAUGUGGUUCUGCUAAAAAGAAACAAAAACAAUUUACCCCUUUAAAUAGGACCCUCGAUUUUUCAACAUAGACCAUCUAUAUUUGUAUAUUUUUACAGAAUUCCCCAAGGAAAGUUGGUAGAUACUUGACUCAUAUUCAUGUAACUAAAAAAUCAUGCAAAAAUAAUACUUUCCAGAGUGCGGGGAGGGUCUGCUCCUAAAAGUAAUCUGUUUUUCCAUCCUGUGUGGCAGAAGGUGCUUGCAGCAUAUAAAAUGAAAAUGUUCUUGCAUCUACACUUUUUGUUAAGGUCCAGUCUUUAGUAAGCAAACUCCUUCCUCAGUUAAGGCAAAGAAUUUCAUGUCAUUCCACUGUACAGGAUGUGGGCCAGCCUAUGUAUUGGUGGUUCUUCAGUCAGGUGCCUACCUGGCCUCAAUCACCCCAUGUGGUAUGGGGUGAGGUAGUCACAUAAUAAAAAACAAGGUUACUUGGUCAGCAUGGGCCAUAAAUGGUCUGGGGUAGAAGCAAGGUAUUUACAUCAUUAACACAGGCCAAAAGUGAUUCUAAUUUGAGAAUCCCUAGGAAAUGCAUCUUUGAAAACAAAAGGUAUGUAUCUAGUGAUAAAUUCCCCAUAAAAGAGAAGGAGCAGGGAACAUCUGUGAUUGGGAUUUGAUCUCCUCUACUCCCAGCCCAACUUGGUGUACAUGGGGCUGAUCCAUAUAAAUAGGCAAAGUUUCAGAGAACAGGUUGAGAGAAUGGAACAUUUUGUUUAUGACAAAGACUUCCAAAGGGCAGAGUGUAUUGGGGAAGUUGCAGAGGAAUAUGAUACUGCGUCAGAUCACUAGCUAGAGGAUGCUCAGAGCCAUAUAAUUUAGUACGUCCCAUCUUUCAAAAAAAUGCUUCUUGACCACACUUCCCCUUGCAAAAGCUUCUUUAUUUCUCAAUUCCACCUUACUGCAAAGCUCCUCAAAAGAGUUGUCUAUUAUCUCUAUUUUACUUCCUAUCCUCAUAUUCUCUCUUAUAUUCACUCCAUUCAGGCUUUAUAACUUUGGCAAAGUAAUCAAUCUUCAUGUUUCCAGGUCCAAUGAUUAUUUUUCAGUUUCAUCUUGUUAACCGCCAGCAGUGGUUGACACAGUUGAUCAUUUCCUCUUUCUUGAAAUAUUUCUUCACUUGGCUUUAAGGGCAUCAUAUCUCUUUGAUUUUCCUUCUACCUCAUAGACCAUUUGUUCAGAGCCUCCAUUGUUGAUUUCUCCUCCUCAGCAUUUAUUGGAGUCUACCAAGGCUUAAUGCCCAGCUCUCUUCUUUAUCCACCUUCCCUCCCUAGAUUAUCUCAUCCAGUAUCAUUACUUUAAGUGGCGUCUAUAUGCUGAUGACUCCCCCAAAUUCUUAUCUCUAGUCCUGACCUUGACCCCACUCCCAAGUCAGUAACUUUUACAACCACUUCUUGGUGUCUCCACUUGGAGAGUGUAAAAGUUUACAUGUCCAACACUGUCUUUCUUCCCCCAAACCUGCUCUUCAUAUAGUUUUUCUUAUUUUAAUAAUUGGCAACUCCAUUCUAUCCAUUGCUCAGGCAAAAAAUGAUCCUGAAUUCCUCUAACACCUCACAUCCAGUCACUCUGGAAAUCCUACUUCUUCUACCUUUAAAAUAUAACUUGAAUCUAGCCAUUUAUCACCACCACUUAUGCUACCCUGUUUCAAGUCACCAUAGCUCUCAUGUGGAUUAAUAGCCUCCUCACUUAUCUUCCUGUGUUUCUAUCCCCACCUUCCCACAUAGUCUAUUGUUAAGACAGCAGCCAUAAUGAUCCUUUUAAUACAUAAUUCAGAUCAUGUUACUCUUGCACAACCCUUCCAUCCCACCCCAACCCCUGCAUUUCCAAUCAGUGAGAGGAUACAUUUUUAGUACUUGGCAUUGGGUAUAUUUGGAUAGUCCUUUGGCUAAAUAUUUUUAUUGAAGCAUAAUUGAUUUAAAAUAUCAUAUUAGUUUCAGGUGUAUCACAUAG